AGAGGAAGCCGGUGAGAAUCCGGCGCGGUCCCGCCACUGUCACCGGCCCGCCCCUUCCGGACGCGGCCGGGAGCCAGGAACUC
rnacentral:ncRNA from 2 species